UCUUUGGAAUUCAAGGUUUUUGGAUUUUCAGCUUUAGGGGUCAGUGGAUUCUGGAUUCUGGACACCACCACGAUCUUCCAGAAGUCUGUUGCAGGCCUCUGAGGGUGGAGCCCUCCAGCAGCCAACCUUAGAGAGGAAAAGUUGAGAGGAUUUACAAUUAGCCGAGCGACUGCAACUGAUCCUGGUUUUGCUGCAGUUACAGUCUGGCAGAGAAUGCAAAGACCUGGAGCAGGGCACCUCGCUGAGCUGCGUGAGUGGGGUUGUUUAUCGGGUUGUUCGGCUGCUGCAGCUGCUGUCUUGAGGGUCACUUGUCUGGUGCUGCACUGGCAGCUCCGGGAACGUAUCUUGUUGCAUCUUCUGUCGUCUUCGUGAAUCAGAACCUGGCCUAGAAUCUGGCUGCCAUGCGCUCCCGGUUGGCAGAGGCAGGAAGAUGCCAUCUUGGACAUGUGGCCUAUUGUUUGGAGAGGAACUCGGGUCCUCAGUGUCAGGAAGAUGCCGUUGUAUCUGCUUUUGUUUAGGACUGGAAAACACUGGACACUGCUUCAGGGGAGAAGGGGUUGCUAUGUCACUUAAGAAAAUAAAUAAUGAGGAAUGCGGGAAGAUGGCGGCAGAGUGAAGAUGCUGGGCUUGCUUCCGCCAACCACGGACAACACAACUGAUGCGAAGCAAAGCCAAAACCCCGGAGGGAAAAGCUGACUACCGCUGUGCACAGUAGAGCAUCAAGUGCAGUGGAAAGGGAGGCAGGUGAAGGAGACAUGAUGGUCUACUCGUAAGCAGAGCACAUAGAGGAGCCUUUGAUUAUGAAAAGGUAGCUUUCAGUUAGGGUGGACAACCUUGGUGGCACAAAGGCAGAGGUAUUGCCACAAUGAUCAGGAAAGAUAAAUGAAAGCAAUAAGCAGAAAUGAGCUCAAGUUGGUAGAAACAAGCUGAGAGACUAUUCUGAAGACCAGAUAGCCUGGUAUUAAAUCCUGGAACUCUAAAGGAAGAUCAAAUACACAGAUCUGUCUAGAGUGAUUGAUGCAGCAAACAUACACACAUUGUAUAAGGAAGCUGGAAUCUAAGGACAUUAAUUAAAUUGGCUGAGAUACUGAAAUAUGAUCCCUGGAGGAGAUUGAUCAUAUAACUCCCAGUACUCCAAUCUUUGUUGCUAAAUCAACACAUCCUGCUUGGAUUGGAGCCUGGUUGAAAUGGAUCGCACCCUGCUCCUGCUUUAUGAUACUUAUUGAUUUGAGUCAUAGCAUAAGUGCUUUGGGGAAAAUAGCCCAUGUAGGGAAUUGGGUUAAGUGUCUAAUGAGUUCACAGAACAUGUUUGUCAGAAUUUUUGCAGCAUGCUUUAUGGAAUAAUUUUGCCUUCAUACACAUUUUGUUUUUCCCUCUGGUUUGCUUCAAUCCUGGAUUUCUAUUAGAUUAGAAUGUUUAUUUUCCUUA